GGACGGGGCACAAAAGGAGGAGCCAAUUAAAUAGGACCUUCUAAAAUUUGUUAAUUUUGUAAACUUUGCUUCUUUUAUAAGUUAUUCUGUGAUUCCUUUUAGUUACUGAGUUUUAUUUUGAAGAUAUUUAAAUAUUGCACUUGUAUAAAAAGUACGAUAAAUGCAGACUGUUGCAGUCAAAAUUUUUUUUAAAGCUAGGAUAUCUGAAAUGACAACUUUCAGUUCAGUAUGUCAAGCCAGGACAGAAUUUUCACAAAUGUAUUGUAGUUUGCAAAUUCUUAUACUGAAAAUGUAAGGGGAGUCAAUGCAAAUGAUUUUUAAUCUUUUUUUUUUUAUCUUUUCAGCAAUUUAUAUUUUUUUUGUGAUUUUAUGCAAUCAUAUUUUUACUUCGUCUUGACAACUGAAAGCUGUAUGAUGUUUUUGCCAGAAAAGUACUGUAUACAUAGUUUUAAAUAUAACAGAUUUUGCUGAUAUGUAAAAAUUUUGCCAUUAAAGUUGAUUUCUCAUGAAAGGAACUUUUCUAUCAAGUUGGGAGACACGAGAGCUUAAUAUAUCUAAUUUAAAAUAAUUUCACCGAAAUAAACACCAUUGCUUUUACUUUGAUUAUAUUUUUUCUUAAGAUGCUUUUGUAGUGUUUUGGAGUUUUAGAUAAUUUUAUAUAAAUUCUCUCCCUGCCUUGCACCAUCCUUUGGAUAUUUGAUACCAUUCACCUAUGAACUAAAGUGGCUGGGUGUGUAAGAUCUGUAUUCCAAGUGGCAUCUUGGGAAAGAAAACCAUGUUGUCUAAAUUCUUCUUAACUCCUCCCCUCCACCGUUCAUUGUGGGCUCUGACAUGAAUGAAAUUCCACACACAGCCUAACUGUAAGUCGGUUGUUGGGAGGAGUCAAUCAUUGUGGUCUAUGUAUGUUUGCCCAGAGUAACCUGAUUUAGAAAGAUGGCAUAAUAAAGAAAACAUUCAUUUUUUCAUCUGUU
rnacentral:lncRNA from 1 species